rnacentral:lncRNA from 1 species
UUGGCAUCCCUCUAAUGGCUAUAAAUUGGCUAGAGAACUGGGUGUCUGAUAAAUUCAGAAAGAGUUUUCAAUUUUAUCUCCAUUGCUCUCCUUUCUUUCUUACAACCUAUCUUAGUUUUAGGACAAGGCUUUGGGAUUUAAGACAAAGCCUUAUCUGAUCCUAAUAAAGGUUGUGAGGGUCCUAAAGAAGGAGGAUCAGAAGUUCAAAAGAGGUUCUGAGAGAGUGGAGUCAGUUUCUUGGAAAAACC